CUGGAGGAAGCUGAGGCCUCCCUGGAACAUGAAGAGGGGAAGAUCCUGCGCCUCCAGCUUGAGCUCAACCAGGUGAAGUCUGAGAUUGACAGGAAGAUAGCAGAGAAAGAUGAAGAAAUCGAUCAGCUGAAGAGAAACCACCUGCGAGUUGUGGAGUCCUUGCAAAGCAGCCUGGAUGCUGAGAUAGGAAUGAAGCCCUGCGACUGAAGAAGAAGAUGGAGGGAGACCUGAAUGAAAUAGAGAUCCAGCUGAGCCAUGCCAAUCGCCAGGCUGCAGAGGCACAAAAGAACCUGAGAAACACACAGGGAGUGCUCAAGGAUACCCAGAUACAUUUGGAUGAUGCUCUCAGGACCCAGGAAGAUCUGAAGGAGCAGGUGGCCAUGGUGGAGCGCAGAGCAAACCUGUUGCAGGCUGAAAUUGAGGAGCUACGGGCAGCACUAGAACAAACAGAGAGGUGUAGAAAGGUGGCUGAGCAGGAACUUAUGGAUGCAAGUGAGCGUGUGCAGCUCCUUCAUACCCAGAACACCAGCUUGAUCAACACCAAGAAGAAGCUGGAAACAGACAUUGCCCAAAUUCACAGUGAAAUGGAGGAAACAGUCCAGGAAGCCCGCAAUGCUGAAGAGAAGGCCAAGAAAGCCAUCACAGAUGCAGCCAUGAUGGCAGAAGAGCUGAAGAAGGAGCAGGACACCAGUGCCCACCUGGAGAGGAUGAAGAAGAACCUGGACCAGACGGUGAAGGACCUGCAGCACCGUCUGGAUGAGGCCGAGCAGUUGGCACUGAAGGGAGGCAAGAAGCAAAUCCAGAAGCUGGAGGCCAGAGUGCGUGAGCUGGAAGGGGAGGUUGAUGCUGAGCAGAAGCGCAGUGCAGAAGCGGUGAAGGGUGUGCGCAAGUAUGAGAGGAGGGUGAAGGAGCUGACCUACCAGUCUGAAGAAGAUAGGAAAAAUGUUCUCAGGCUCCAAGAUCUGGUGGACAAGCUUCAAAUGAAAGUGAAAUCCUACAAGAGACAAGCUGAGGAGGCUGAGGAGCUGUCCAAUGUCAAUCUCACAAAGUUUCGCAAGAUCCAGCAUGAGCUGGAGGAAGCCGAGGAGCGGGCUGACAUUGCAGAGUCGCAGGUCAACAAGCUCCGAGCAAAGAGCCGUGAAAUUGGCAAGAAGGCAGAAAGUGAAGAGUGAAUGCCACCAGUGGUGCGAAGUGAAGGGAAUUGCACAAAAUGUGAAAUUCUAUCGCUUUGAUUUUGUAAUCACUGUUGUUAUCAAUCUCUAGAUAAUGAAUGCCUAGAUAAUAAAAAUUGUAGAGAUUUUCCCAUGGAAA